rnacentral:rRNA from 1 species
AACGCGAAGAACCUUACCUGGGCUCGAAAUGUACAGGAAUCCGGUGGAAACAUCGGCGCCCAGCAAUGGGCCUGUAUAUAGGUGCUGCAUGGCUGUCGUCAGCUCGUGUCGUGAGAUGUUGGGUUAAGUCCCGCAACGAGCGCAACCCUUACCUCCAGUUGCCAUCAUUUAGUUGGGCACUCUGGCGGAACCGCCUCGGAUAACGGGGAGGAAGGUGGGGAUGACGUCAAGUCCUCAUGGCCUUUAUGGGGCUGGGCUACACACGUGCUACAAUGGCGGUGACAGAGGGAGGCAACGGGGCGACCCCUAGCCAAUCUCGAAAAGCCGUCUCAGUUCGGAUUGUUCUCUGCAACUCGAGAGCAUGAAGCUGGAAUCGCUAGUAAUCGCGGAUCAGCACGCCGCGGUGAAUACGUUCCCGGGCCUUGUACACACCGCGCAUA